rnacentral:rRNA from 1 species
GACGAACGCUGGCGGCGUGCUUAACACAUGCAAGUCGAACGGUGAAGCGCCUUCCUUUUUGGUGGGUGUGGAUGAGUGGCGAACGGGUGAGUAACACGUGAGUAACCUGCCCCCUUCUUCUGGAUAACCGCAUGAAAGUGUGGCUAAUACGGGAUAUUCUGGGUCUGUCGCAUGAUGGGUCUGGGAAAGAUAUUGUUUCGGUGGGGGAUGGGCUCGCGGCCUAUCAGCUUGUUGGUGGGGUGAUGGCCUACCAAGGCGGUGACGGGUAGCCGGCCUGAGAGGGUGGACGGUCACACUGGGACUGCGACACGGCCCAGACUCCUACGGGAGGCAGCAGUGGGGAAUAUUGCACAAUGGGCGCAAGCCUGAUGCAGCGACGCCGCGUGAGGGAUGGAGGCCUGCGGGUUGUGAACCUCUUUCGCCAGUGAAGCAGGCCUGCCUCGUUUGUGGGUGGGUUGACGGUAGCUGGAUAAGAAGCGCCGGCUAACUACGUG